UAAUGCACAUAUGUGUAUAUAAGCAUAAAGUCUGAAAAUGACAACCUUGCAGCUGGCGGGACCAGAGCUGGGACUCUCCACUCGAUGAUACACUGCGGCGGCACCAACCUCGGGAAUCACCCUGGGACGAUUUCCGGGGCGACUCUUCUUGUUGCCGCUCUCCACGCAGCAGCAAAGUAGAAUACUGAGCGGCACAGCCUCCCCCUCCUCCAGGGUCUGUGGAAGAUUCCUGUUCCGCGUCUCUGGCAGCAGAAGGCUGGCAAAUCCGCCAACAAUGAGCAGCACUCCCAUCACAAUCAGCGGCAAUGCCAGCAUUUGCUGGCCCUGCAACGAAACAGAAGCUACGGGAAACGGGUCGGGAUCUGGACAGGUUCAUGGGCACUCACCAUGUGAUUGAUAAUGGGAAUGACAAUGGGCCCGAUCAUGGCUACCACAGAGCUGAAGCUCAUGCCCAGGCCCCGCACCACCGUGGGAUACAGCUCGGACGCCAGCAGCGGCAGCACCACAAAGGACGAGCUGAUGCCCAUCUUUCCGACACAGUACAGCAGCAGGGUGAUUUUCGGAAAGAGGAACGUGGCGACGCAGGCCACUCCCCCCACGAGCAUCGAAAUGAAGAGGAUCCAGCGCCGUCCGAAGUAGCUGAGUCCUGGCCAGAGAAGCAGAUACGUGGGCAGCUCCACGGCCCCGGCCAAGAAGAAGUUCCAUAUCUCGUCGCCGCCCAAGGCAGGAGCGUAGUAGCUCAGGCCGACAUAAACGCUAGUGUUGGCGAACCAGAUCAGAGUGAUAAUCAGGGUCUUGCGGCGCAUGUUGGUGCCCCGAAAUAGAUCCAAGAUGCCAUAGUGCAUGGUGGCUGACGACUCCGCGGCCUGCGUUGUCACUAGGCGAUGCUGCAGGCGCUCUACGAAGUCCCUGGUGAUGCGUACUCCAUUCACGCGUGCCAUUACUUUGAGGAUCUUGGUAGCCCGCUUCGUCUGCCCCACGGCCAUCAGCCAGCGAGGAGACUCUGGCAGCAAAAAGAAGCAGGAGAAGAGCAUCAGUAGUGGCAUGGACACGGCUAGACUGAGCUCUCGCCAGUCCCGCACAAUGUAGAUCACGCCGGCCAGGACGACCAGUCCCAAGGAGUAGGCAAUGUUUGAGACGAUUGUGCAGAAGACGCGACGAUCGGGACCCACUAGUUCUAUGGCGAGGACGUAGGGACUCGCCAGAAUUGCCGGCACUGUCAGCCCCACCACAAAGCGGAGCCCCAGCCAGACGGAGAAGUUCCACGCAAAGGCACUAGCCGCACAGGCAGCAAUCUCCAGCAGCAGAUAGGCGUAGAAGGAGGGUCGUCGCCCCCACAUAUCCACCAGAUAGCCGAACACGUAGUUCCCAAGCAGUCCACCCACUCCAAAGAUGACCAAUGCCAAUGUCACCAGGUAGCUCCUGUCGCACACCAGAUUCCACUGCAAACGGAUAGAGUCAGAGAGGAGUAGCAAGAGACAGAGAAAGAGAUGGUUAUACACACCUCUUGGACCACUGUGCUGGAGUAAAUGGACUUGUCGUAGUGCCAGCCAUGCUGGCAGGGCACUAUCCGCGCAGACUCCGGGUGCAGACUGAGCAAAUCUUCAGCCUCUUGCCUAAUCAGAUCAAAGGGCGGUCGGUACUCCAAAUACCGGACAAUGUCGCUGUAGUUGCGGGCAUACAUGGAGCACUCGGCGUAGGCGCCUUGAGGGUUUCGCGGGAUGCUCAGAUUCUUCACCAGCUGCACAUAGUCUUGGGUCCAUGGCUCCAGCUCUGGUACUCGACACCAGUGCUGUGGAGUGGCCGCGAUGAAUAGUUGACUGCAAGGAUGCCAAAGGAUAGGAAUCACUGCACCCAAGAAAUCCACGUGCUUACCUGUAGGCGUGAAAGGCACAGGGCAGGGCAGCCGGCAGCAGCACCGAGCAUAUAAUGACCUUCUGGUAGAGACCGAAAGAUCCCACCUCCUUAAGUACCUCAUCGAAGUCCAUGUCGUCUGCAUCCGAGCCAAGCGCGCGCACAACUAACGAGCUGGUGCUGGGGACCUUGCCCACUUCCAGGCCAGGAAUUGACGACGAACUGCAAUCGCCACAGGGGCUGAUUGAACAUAAUUACAUUACGGCCUUUCAUCUGUUUUAAUUAAUUGGACACCGCGGCGUGGACAAGGUUCGAGAUUUGUGGACACAGUUGAGCCACCGAUCCACACUGCAAAACCCAACCAAAGCGAUCACUCGGACACGGUGGGCUGGCUAGUAGUCAAAUUUGUAUUUCUUCGUAUAGGGUACAUAAAAUUAAAUUACAUAUUUCUAGAACUGGAACGCGAACGGCCGCCGACAUGGAGACGGACUGGUCUAGUUGCGGGCCAAUCCGAUGAUGGUCAGUAUGUACAUGAAGAUGUUGACGAUGUCCAGGUAGAGGUUGAGGGCCGCGAAGAUAUACUCCUCGGGACUGAUCGAAUACUUGUGGUUCCCGCCCAGCAUCAGCUGCGUGUCGUAAACCAGAUACACGGAGAAGAGCAGGGCACCCAGCGAGGCGUACACGAGGCCGAUCACCUGGCCCGGUAUGAAGAUGGCAAUGAUACCAAAGAUGAUGAAGACUACCAGGCAGGCGACUAGCACUCCGCCGCACAUCGUAAAGUCCCACUUGGUUUGCAGUGCGAAGAUGGUGAGGCCCAAGGCCACGGCUGCCGUAAUUCCCACGGCCAUCAGUACCUCAUUGGCCUCGUACUGGCCGGCCACCAUGCCCAGCAGGAAGGAUUCGGCGAUCGUGAACAGGAACAGGAAUAUAAAGUUGAGCGGCGUUUUCCGGCGAACGCUCUCGCAGCAGGCCAUGCAUAUCAUGGUCACAAUGAGAACGGCCUGGAAAAAAUAGAGAAGAAAUGUUAUAUCCAAACAGGAUAGCCUGUGCCUAUCAAGAGGCAGCCACUCACCAGGGCGAUCCAAACGAGGUAUGGGUUCUUCUGUACCCAUUCCUGUGUACCCUUUGAGAAGGUGAACACGCUGACAAACCCGAACGUGAUCAGCAGUUGUACCUAGGAAGCAAGACAGAUUACAGCUAAUGAGAUAUACAUUGAUUAGCUGCUGCUGGUUCACUUACCAUCAGAAUGAGAUACACCUUCCGUAUGAAGCCCUUCCUGAUGCUCUGGUCAUCAAAAUCGAAGGUUUUGUCGGCCUCCCCAUCUGUGUAGGCGCCAGUUUCAUCGCCUAUGGAUGGAGACAGGUUCAAAGGAAUUGGGUAUUAAUUCAGCGAUGACUAACCGUAUUGAAAGUGGGUGCUCAUGGCUAGAUUGUUAUAGAUAAUAUACAAUAUAUAUGCUCUCUCUCUGGAUGUAUGCCGCCGCAGUUACGGUUCGUGCGAGUUGUUCCGCUUGCAGGUGACGAUGGUCUAACCCAUUUGCGCUACCAGAAGGUAUCCCAUAUGGCCGACAGUUUGCAGAUUAGUCCAAACGCUUAUCAAAUUGACUCUCACACACACACACACACGGGCAGCAGUGGAUGCAGAUAACAGAUAAUGUACACUCACACGCACAUAUGGAUGUGUGUGCUGUUGAGUAACAGAUAUGUAUGUAUGUUGUGGCCCAGCAAAUGUUCGAUAUCUCGCACCCUCAGUAGGUGAAUCACGACAAAUCGUGCAACACAAUUAUUGGUCCCAGAGGGAGAGAGCUCAGGCAAUUGUCGAUUAUUUUAUCGCCACAACUCUUCUUUUGGCUUAGCCGUCAUCGGCAUUACUCCCAUCCUGUACUUGCCUUGCUGGUAGUGAUACAUUUUAUUUGUAUAUUGCGGCUAAAUCGAUGACUACGACUACGACUGGUUGGAAAUCACUCGAACUACUGAGCACCAGGUGUCGGUGGCGGUGACCCGGUUGCACACACAAUUUAAAAGACACCAAAACUCACACGCACACAAUCGUGUGGCUUUGAUAAGAAAGUCAACCCAACUAACGCGACAAAAAUGAUAAAGCAAAGGUAUUUUAUUUGAUAAAGUACCCCUUUUUUGGGGUAAUGGUAAUCCGUGCGCAAGCGACGCUGGCCGACUGCAGACUGAUGAUGUUGAAUGCCACUGACGGUGGCAAUGCCCCCAGGCUGAGCUGCGAUGGGGAAGACCUACAAACGCUGCUCUCUGUGGUCAGAACAAUCCAGCUUUAAUAAAUAGACGCUCUUUAUUGUUGAUUUUAAACUCAGUGUUGCUGCAGGGCUUACAUCGUUCGGUAUUAGAUUUACAAUUACAGUUCGGAACUCUAGCUUUUGUUUUUUGUUUUGUUUUUACAAAGUUAAACGUAUUUAACAAUUGCAAACCGUGUUGCAUAUAUAGUA